GGCCGGUCCAAGUACAGGGAUAUUUACAACUGCUUGAUCACAACCAGUUACAGAUUCUUUGUUCCUUCCCUACUCCCACUGCUUCUGUUGACUAACCUCAA
rnacentral:Y_RNA from 1 species